AGAGUUUGAUCCUGGCUUAGGACGAACGCUGGCGGCGUGCCUAACACAUGCAAGUCGAGCGAUGAAACCCUUCGGGGUGAAUUAGCGGCGGGCGGGUGAGUAACACGUGGGUAACCUGCCUUAUAGAGGGGGAUAGCCUUCCGAAAGGAAGAUUAAUACCGCAUGAAAUGUUUUUAUCGCAUGGUAGAAACAUCAAAGGAGUAAUCCGCUAUAAGAUGGACCCGCGGCGCAUUAGCUAGUUGGUGAGGUAACGGCCCACCAAGGCGACGAUGCGUAGCCGACCUGAGAGGGUGAUCGGCCACAUUGGAACUGAGACACGGUCCAGACUCCUACGGGAGGCAGCAGUGGGGAAUAUUGCGCAAUGGGGGAAACCCUGAACCGCAGCAACGCCGCGUGAAUGAAGAAGGCCUUAGGGUUGUAAAGUUCUGUUUUCUGGGACGAUAAUGACGGUACCAGAGGAGGAAGCCACGGCUAACUACGUGCCAGCAGCCGC
rnacentral:rRNA from 1 species